ACGGGUGAGUAACGCGUGGGAAUCUACCGUGCCCUGCGGAAUGGCUCCGGGAAACUGGAAUUAAUACCGCAUACGCCCUACGGGGGAAAGAUUUAUCGGGGUAUGAUGAGCCCGCGUUGGAUUAGCUAGUUGGUGGGGUAAAGGCCUACCAAGGCGACGAUCCAUAGCUGGUCUGAGAGGAUGAUCAGCCACAUUGGGACUGAGACACGGCCCAAACUCCUACGGGAGGCAGCAGUGGGGAAUAUUGGACAAUGGGCGCAAGCCUGAUCCAGCCAUGCCGCGUGAGUGAUGAAGGCCUUAGGGUUGUAAAGCUCUUUCACCGGAGAAGAUAAUGACGGUAUCCGGAGAAGAAGCCCCGGCUAACUUCGUGCCAGCAGCCGCGGUAAUACGAAGGGGGCUAGCGUUGUUCGGAAUUACUGGGCGUAAAGCGCACGUAGGCGGAUAUUUAAGUCAGGGGUGAAAUCCCAGAGCUCAACUCUGGAACUGCCUUUGAUACUGGGUAUCUUGAGUAUGGAAGAGGUAAGUGGAAUUCCGAGUGUAGAGGUGAAAUUCGUAGA
rnacentral:rRNA from 1 species